rnacentral:tRNA from 1 species
AAUUUAUAUAGUUUAAAAAUAAAAACAUUACAUUUUCAUUGUAAAAUUAAACUCACAUUUUAUAAGUA